GCCCGGGUGGUGAAAUGGUAUACACGUACGCUUGAGGGGCGUAUGCCGCAAGGUGUGGAGGUUCGACUCCUCUCCCGGGCACAA
rnacentral:tRNA from 1 species